CUUCCGUCCAGCCACAGUACUUCCGUCACGCCAGGGUGUUCUGUCCAGUUCUGUCACGCCAGAGUGUUGUUCUCCGGGGCUGCAGCUGGAUACUAUUUUGACCUGAUUAGCACUUUUUCAGGGUGAAGUAUGUGGAAAGGCGCAAAAUUGUUUACCAGCAGGGGCGGCAGUCUCUAUCGGUCGCACAUGACAUACCUGUGGCCAGUCUUGGUGCCAGCUAUCGCUCUUGUGACAAAGAAGGAACAUAUUUCGGACGAUAUGGUGUUCCCAAUUGCAACUGUAAUUGUAGAUAUGGUAGUGGCAUACCGUAUCAACGUGAAUUCACAGUUGGCUGAUCCCAUCAAGGAGAUAACAGCACGCGCGGCUGAAUAUUUCCUCACUGAAGAGCACUUUACCAAUUCUUCAGCACAUUCCAAUAUCGUGGAAGAGGUGGACUUCUUCAACAGGGCUCUGUUGUGGUGGUGUAACAAAAAUGGGAUUGUCGCUCCAGGUGACACUGGCAUCCGCGUCCCUCACCUGCCCGAUGAGACGAAGAUGGUGGGUUUAAUUGCAGAUCUCAAUGCUCUCGGAGCCUUCAAUGCCAGUCGUCGUGCCGAAGCGCAGUCAAAUUUCAACAAUGCUCAUGCCAACUUCCUAUGUGCAAUCGCCAAACGUGGAUCUGCCACCUCCCAGUGGUGCACAAAGAAGACGCGGGGAUUUGUGGCGGCCUCGGGCGAUGACAUGGUCCGCUUGGAGCGCGGAAUGAUUGCGGAGAUGUGGAGUGUCUUUUCACUGAUGGGGGUGACUGACUGGGGGGCUCUGAUCAAAUUUUUGACUCAAAACAUGAUCGAGAUGGGGCUCAAAAGAUUGUGCCCAGGUCAUGCAUCAAGCAGCCAACAGUGGACACACAUCUGGCAUCCUCAUCCAUCGGGCAUUAGUCGGACGCCCUGACUUCGAUUGGACGCAAAUCAUCACUGGACUGCACACUCGGAACAUGAGGCAUACCGAUCCCCAAUUUGUCGAUCACUUAGGCGAAUGGUACCGAACGAAGAUGUCGGAAGCGCCAGCAGACACCGCUGAAGAAGAAUACGCACGCCUCGACACUGAAACCCGUGCGGAAGCACAUCGACUGAAUUCCGAACAACUCAGGACUCGCAUUACCGUCACAAACGGAAUCUUAACAACUCUCAAGGGCGAGCUCAUGAUCUGGAGGGGAGUGAUGAAGUCGUUAAAAGAGAACCCAUACCAAGUGUUCUCCCACGACCACACAGGCCAGUCUCGACAAAUGCGGAACUUAGCAUACCUAUGCUGGAAGCUGUGCACGGAUGUGAUGGGAGAUCACUCUUUAACAUCGUACGCCGGGUUCAAGUCUGGUGGAAUACCUUACAUGAUAGAAAUCGACAAAGUGGUGGCGGAUUACAAGUCCCACCUGUCUGACGAUAUGGACAUGGACUCGCUGCAGGUGCCCCCCGCUGAACUCUCCAGUGUAUGAUGACGUGGGUAUUGCUGAACAUUUCGUGAAGCAGGUCUGAGCAUUCCGAGAACUUUUCCUCGUAUGCCUCCCCGAGUGGUGCCAAAUGUUCAUGUGGCAGCUCAUUAUUUAAUGACAUUUUGUCUUAUAAAGUAUUAAGUUAAGCUGUGUAGUUUAAGAUAAGUCCUCCAGUUCAUAAAGGACUUGAAAUAUUUUUAGUGUUUUUUAAUAACAGUAUCUUGCAUUGGUGUAAUUUCUUUCUUUCUUGGUCUAACCAGCAUUUUUUUUAUUGGAGACUGGUUUAAAAAUAAAUAAUAAAAAUCAAAUUUAGCUCGGCUAUAUAUAUAUAUAUGUUAAACGGCGUGUCUCUCGUUUAACACUGGUUGAUCACUAACACACACACACACACACACACACACA
ensembl:lncRNA